rnacentral:rRNA from 1 species
UACGUAGGGGGCAAGCGUUGUUCGGAAUUACUGGGCGGAAAGGGCGCGUAGGCGGCACAGCAAGUCGGGAGUGAAAUCCCCGGGCUCAACCUGGGAAUUGCGAUGGAGACUGCAAGGCUAGAAUCUGGCAGAGGGGGGUAGAAUUCCACGUGUAGCAGUGAAAUGCGUAGAGAUGUGGAGGAACACCGAUGGCGAAGGCAGCCCCCUGGGUCAAGAUUGACGCUCAUGCACGAAAGCGUGGGGAGCAAACAGG